rnacentral:tRNA from 2 species
CAGAAGAUAAUUUAAUAAAAAUGUAAGCUUUGGGUGCUUGAAAUGAUUCUUUACUCUCUUCUGA